rnacentral:rRNA from 1 species
CCUACGGGAGGCAGCAGUAGGGAAUAUUGCUCAAUGGGGGAAACCCUGAAGCAGCAACGCCGCGUGGAUGAUGAAGGUUUUCGGAUUGUAAACUCCUUUUGUUAGAGAAGAUAAUGACGGUAUCUAACGAAUAAGCACCGGCUAACUCCGUGCCAGCAGCCGCGGUAAUACGGCGGGUGCAAGCGUUACUCGGAAUAACUGGGCGUAAAGAGCGCGUAGGCGGGAGAGCAAGUCAGAUGUGAAAUCCUAGGGCUUAACCAUGGAACUGCAUUUGAGACUGUUAUUCUAGAGUAUGGGAGAGGUAGGUGGAAUUCUUGGUGUAGGGGUAAAAUCCGUAGAGAUCAAGAGGAAUACUCAUGGCGAAGGCGACCUGCUAGAACAUAACUGACGCUGAGGCGCGAAAGCGUGGGGAGCAAACAGGAUUAGAUACCCUUGUAGUC